GAUGAACGCUGACAGAAUGCUUAACACAUGCAAGUCAACUUGAACUUCGGUUUGGGUGGCGGACGGGUGAGUAACGCGUAAAGAACUUGCCUCACAGAUAGGGACAACAUUUGGAAACGAAUGCUAAUACCUGAUAUUAUGAUUAUAUGGCAUCGUAUAAUUAUGAAAGCUAUAUGCGCUGUGAGAGAGCUUUGCGUCCCAUUAGCUAGUUGGAGAGGUAACGGCUCACCAAGGCGAUGAUGGGUAGCCGGCCUGAGAGGGUGAUCGGCCACAAGGGGACUGAGGCACGGCCCUUACUCCUACGGGAGGCAGCAGUGGGGAAUAUUGGACAAUGGACCAAGAGUCUGAUCCAGCAAUUCUGUGUGCACGAUGAAGUUUUUCGGAAUGUAAAGUGCUUUCAGUUGGGAAGAAAAAAAUGACGGUACCAACAGAAGAAGUGACGGCUAAAUACGUG
rnacentral:rRNA from 1 species